AAGUGGUACUCAUAAAAAUUCUUCAAGGUUUGCAGGUCUGUAUCAGUAAAACAUUCUUGACGAGCAGAAUAAGACAAGUUUCGAUCAUUUUACAGUAAUAUCAUUAUUCAUCAAACUCUUUUACUUCAUUUCCUUUAAUAGCCAUUCAUUAAAGUUUUGGUUAAAAAGUGUGCCUUAUUAAAGUUGAUUAACACUCUUGUAGCUGUAUUAAUAGCUUUUGAGGUUGUUUCUCUGGUUCUCACCUACUUCAGAUACUAGUUUGUAAAUAUAUCCCGGACAUCAACCUCCUGGACUACCUGCCAGAAAUCCUUGAUGGACUCUUCCAGAUCCUAGGGCACAGCAGCACUCCCUGUUCUCCCCUCUCCUUGGGCUGCUACACUCUAUAUCAGACUCUCCAACCCUGUUCCUGGAGAGCUGCUGUCGUCCAAUGACGUGAUCCAGUUGACAGCCAUGACGUGGAUGAGGGAGUUUAUCCAGCUGGCCGGGAGGGCUGUCCUGCCCUACUCUGGCAUCCUGACCGCUGUCCUGCUCUGCCUGCCCUACGAUGACUGCAAAAAAAGUAUCCCCUAAGCCAGCAGGUUCCACGCUUCCCUUCCUCCGCUUCUUUGACGUCUUCCCACCUCUAGAUGGCCAGCCGGGGGUAGGUGUGGCGCCGGAGAUAGCAGUUGUCUGGCUGGAUGAACCAGCUUCAUCGGGGGAUGGGCACCUUGGCACCGGGGGCUCCCAGUCGGAGUCGCAACCACUAGAGGUGUCAGCAGGAGAAAGGGGUAAAGAAGUUGCCUCUUUCGAGGACAGACACAGGAUUCCCUACUCUCAGGCAGUGAUCCAUGAAGCCCAGCAUAUUGCCAGCACCCUUCCUCUGUGUCUUCCAUUGCACCACAAAAGACAGAGUUGAUGGGCUAUAAAAUCCCCAAGGGCACUCUUGUUAUUCCAAACCUCUCGUCUGGGUUGUAUGAGGAGUGUCAGUGGAAGUUCCCUCAUGAGUUCAACCCUUACAGCUUCCUGGAUGAACAGGAAAAGCUGGAGAAACAUGAAUCCUCCAUGCCCUUUUCCGUUGGUGAGAGUUCAUAGAUCUUCACGGAUCCUGUAAUUUGAGUUUGUUCAAUAAUUCCUGUUUCUGAGGUAUUCUGAAACAAAUUGGAUCUGGUCCUUCAAUGGACAUCGUGUGAGGGAGGGUUUUUUGUUUGUCUUCACAGAAUGCACCGAAUGUACAUCUUAUCAGUUCUGAUGUUUAAGUGCCCCGUAUGUGACUAGAAGAGGGACUCACUCGCAUAGAGCUGUUCUGGAUUUUGGUCACUUUGCUGCGACGCUUCCAGUUUGUCUGGCCUGAGGAUGCAGGGGAACCUGACUACUCUGCUUGUCACAAACUGGAUAGAAUGUCAUCUGUCUCUCUACUCUAAAGAGAGUGAAAGCACUCAUUAAAGAAAAUAUGUAUUUGUACAGAUGGACUUGACUAUAUACGGAGCAAAUGUUGUUUACACAAUGCAGUACUCUCAUUAAAGCAAUGUCUGUUUAUUGAGGUCAUUUAAGAGUACAAUUAUUACUUUGAUUACUGAAAUCUAUUAAACUGUGUAGAUAUCUUCAAGGUCAAUGCUUCCCAGAGAAACUAACAUACUGGAGUGUCCUUGAAAGUCUGAUAAGUAAGUAUGACAAAGGUGAAGAUAUGCAGUCAAUUAAAAAUGCUAGUUAAUAAGUGCUGACUGCUGAUAUUGCUUUCCUUGCAUUUCUAAGGGUAUUAAUCAGGCAAGCUUAUUCGUUUGUAUCAAUUAAAUUCUUGGAUUUCACAAGUAUGAACGUCUCAAUUGUGUUCCAGUUUUGUUGUGCCUGUGAGUAUAGGCCAUAGUAGGAUACACAGAUUCAAUAUGGCCCAUCUAGUAGGCUAUGCAGUAUGCACACAGAGACAGCCUUGUAUUUGGAGGAAAAGUUUUGUUUUGUCUUUUGUAUGUUUAACACGCAAGGGUUUUUGUUUGUUGACAUUUUAAUAAAGUUCAAAGUCUGACUUCCCUCCCA